UAUAAAAAAUGUCACGACGCCACGGGGCCCUAGUUUCGCACAGCACAUGGCGGAGACUGUCACGGCGAGGCAAUUUUGCGAGACAACGAGUCUCUCUCGGGUGUGCGUGUGAUCAAGUUUUUGUGAGGAACCUGCAUGAUCUUGCGCAUGAAGUAAUUAUUUUUGGACAGUUCCUUCUCUGGACGGUGUUACAAGUACAGGCAAGCGGCUAUCAACGGUUGUUAUUGCUGUACUUUGUGGUGUUGUGAUUCACCAGUGCGGAUCGAAGAGCACCGUUUUCUCCAGCCCAGAUUCUACAAUUUGGAGAUGGGGUACAAGGAGAAGUGCAAGUGUAUUCCACAUCUUGAGGGAGAUGCAAGAUAUGCUUCCGCAAUCCUUGCUGCAAGUGUUCAAAUAAAUGGUUGCAAGUUUCA